UUUCACUCGCCGACUUUUCCCCCUCCUUUCUCUCGAGCGACCAUCCCCUCCAUCAAUUUUCCUGCAACCUUGUUUUCUUUCUCUUUGCAUUCGCUACUCCCAUUUUUAAUUCACUUUCUCUGCAGCCCCAUCUUUGUUCAAUCCCCCACCGAAAACUAGUUGUUCCCCACUCACGCUUCAGCCCCACUAAUCCCUGCUCACCACCGAAGCAUCCCUCUCUCUUCAUGCCGUUCCACCGAAGUCCCUUGCACCUUCAACGAGUCCAACGCCAGCGAGCUGCUUCCUUCGUCCCUCUCCACGUCGAUGCUGCAGCUCCACUUCGGUCUUGCCACGCCAGUUGAAGCCCAGCGAAGCCACAACAGCCCACGCCUCGGUCAGCUCGGCGAUUAUCUCAGCGAGUUGUUGACUCCUCCACGCGUCCGAGUCACCACCAACGCAGCUGCUUCACUUCCUCCUUGAUGAUUCAUUUGCGGGCCGCGCCAGACCACGUUGCUGCUACCAGACGUUCCAGCUUCUGUUAGCCACGCCUGCCCAUCCGAGUGAUGACCGAAACCCGUGAUUCCUCUUCACUCUACCAGCUUCUUUAUCUACUUCGUUCAACAAGCGGAGUUGAAGACCGCCGAAGGAAGCCGCACGUUCCACCGAGAACUACCAUCCACCGAGCUCUCUUCCCCUGCCACGUUUCGGUCCAUUUCACCGGCUAAAACCCAGCUGAAAACCGCUGAAGAUUGACCGAAGAAAUCCCCCACCGAGCGAAGCUGCAUCUCGUCCCCUUGUUGCCAGCGAAGCUCGAAGAUUCCAACGCACGCUAGCAGCUGCUUCUCCAGUUCGUGGGCCAGCCGCAGCAGCCCAGCCCGCGCGUGACACCAGCUCCAGCAGUCUUCGGUCUUCUCCAGCGGCGUGCCCUUAGCCCAACACUUUCAGUCAUUUGGGCCCAGUAAAAUUCAGUCCAGCUGAGGGCCAUUUCAAGCCCAGUCGAAUUACUUCAGCUGCAGCCCAGCCCAGUCCAUGUGAGUUAAUUGGCCAAGCCCAAUUUCCAGCAAAGCAAUUGAAGUCCAGCCCAUAUCUUGAAGCCAGUUCAGUUUUGUUUCAAGCCCAUCUCAGCCCGAGUUUCAAGUCCAACAUCAUUUGUAUUUCAACGAGGCCUAGCAAGUUCAGCCCAUCUUGGGCCCGUGAAGCAAGUUCGGCCCAAGGCCAGCUUUUGAUGUGGGCUUGCGAGGCUUGUAGGCCCGGCUCGAGUGUCUAUCGUCGCCGCCGAAAUUUUGGAAUUCGGCCGCCGUCGCGGUUUUCGAUCUUCGCUUUACCAAGUGAGUUUUACUCACUAAUGCCUUUUUAGUGCGCUAAUUAUACUUAAAAGUUGAUUAGUGUUAAUUAAGUGUAAUUAGGUUGUUAGAUUAGAAUUGAUUAGUGAUUAUUAGUUAAUUGUUUUGCAUUUUAGUUGUGUGAUUAGUGUAAUUAGAUAGAGAAUUGCCUGUAGUAUUUAUUGGAUGCUUCUUGGGAUUUUUCCCGUCCCUUAUCGGGUGUUAAUUAAGCGAUUUGGGCCUAGGUGGUAUUUUUAGGAAUUAAAUAUUAAUUUUCGAAAUUAAUUAUUUAAUUAUUUAUUUCCUGGAAAUUCAACUAGGAUGGUCAGUGACCGGAAUUUUAUGCUGAUGAUCAUGGCGCAGUCCGUUUAUUUAAUUGAGCUUUAUAUUGUGCUAAAUUGAAUUUAUUGUAUUUAUUUAUUUAAUUUUCGAAAUUAAUUAUUUAAUUAUUUAUUUUCCGAAAAUUCAACCGGGAUGGCCAAUGAUCGGAAUUUCGUGCGGAUUGUCGUGGAGCAGUCCGUUUAUUUAUUUAAGCUUUAAUUUGUAUCGAAUUGAUUUAAUGGUGCAUUUUUAAGUAUGUUAUUAAAUAAUGCAAUUUUGGCCUUGUGAUUGAGAAUUAAUCGGGUAUCGGUUGUUAGUAUCGAAAGUGAGUUGGUAAAUCACCUUGAGGAUGCACGUGGCCCAGUGAAUUGGAAUGUUACUUGGGAAAGACACGUGGCUCGGUGAUUAGAUAUGUCAUCUUGGCGAAAAGGUAGCCUUAGAGAAUGCACGUGGCUCGGAGACUCGGUAUAUCUUCUUGGAGAAUGCACGUGGCUCGGUGACAUAGUAUGGCAUUGUAAAAAGGUCGGGUGGGACCGUAAAGCCACUAGUUCUUGAGAGGGUCGGGUGGGACCGUAAAGCCACUAAAUCCAAGGAAUUGCUUGGUGUGAGAUAAAUGACCUAGAAAUGAUUUGACUGGCUUGUAAUCGACUAGGUCGAUUGAUCGAUGAUUCGAUCUGAGAGUGUCUUGAUGUGAUUCAUUGCCUUGGUUUGAUGUUGUGAAUUGAAUGAUUGAAGGGAGAUGAUCGUGAGUGCUCUUCCUGAUGUGAAAUCGACUAAGUCGAUUAGAUCGAUGUUUCGAUCUGUGAUGUGAUUGCUUGUGUGCCUAUUCGAUCUGUACUAAUAUGCAGGUGGAAUCUGAGGCUAAGGUAAGUCUUCUAAUUCAUGUUGUGCAUAGGCAGCCUUAAGGUGUAUUAGUUUACUAAUCGGGUCUUAGGAGGUAGAACUUGCUGAGACGUUGUCUCAGUGGUUAUUAAAUAACCAUUUCAGGACCUGGAUGAGGAGCCUAAGGAGCAUGAAUCCGAUGAGGAGAUCCCUGUUGAGGAACCCAAAGAGGAGUACGUGGAGGAGGACCCCGAGUAUGACAUCGAGUACGACCCGGAUGAGGAUCGAAAUCCUAUCCUGUCUUGUCAGACCUUGUUUGCAUGUAAAAAGAUGUAGUUGUGAAUUUUCAGUAUGAGAAAUGUAUGGCCUGCUUUUCUAUCCCAUUGCUUUAUUGUCCGGGGAAUUAUAACUGCUUCCGCAUGUGCAUAUAUAAUUGAAAGGGUCGGCGAUACAUAGUCCUGGG
rnacentral:lncRNA from 1 species